GUGCUGAAUUAUUCGCCAAUGCGCGAAAGCGUGACGGUGCGACGCCGCGUGCGGGACGAAGGCCUUCGGGUUGUAAACCGCUGUCAAGGUAUAGAAAACCGUCGGAGUUAAUAGCUCCGGCGCUGAUCCUACCUAAAGGAAGCACAGGCUAACCUCGUGCCAGCAGCCGCGGUAAUACGAGGUGUGCGAGCGUUGUUCGGAAUCACUGGGCAUAAAGGGUGCGUAGGCGGUGCGCCAAGUCGGGUGUGAAAUCCCUUCGCUUAACGGAGGAACUGCAUUCGAUACUAGCGUGCUAGAGGGUAAAAGGGGCAAGCGGAAUUCUAGGUGUAGCGGUGGAAUGCGUAGAUAUCUGGGAGAACGCCGAGGGCGAAGGCAGCUUGCUGGGUUACUUCUGACGCUGAGGCACGAAAGUGUGGGUAUCAAACAGGAUUAGAAACCCCUGUAGUCC
rnacentral:rRNA from 1 species